rnacentral:rRNA from 1 species
AAUCCAUAGGUUAAUGAGGCGAACCGGGGGAACUGAAACAUCUAAGUACCCCGAGGAAAAGAAAUCAACCGAGAUUCCCCCAGUAGCGGCGAGCGAACGGGGAGGAGCCCAGAGCCUGAAUCAGCAUGUGUGUUAGUGGAAGCGUCUGGAAAGGCGCGCGAUACAGGGUGACAGCCCCGUACACAAAAGCGCAUGUGUUGUGAGCUCGAUGAGUAGGGCGGGACACGUGGUAUCCUGUCUGAAUAUGGGGGGACCAUCCUCCAAGGCUAAAUACUCCUGACUGACCGAUAGUGAACCAGUACCGUGAGGGAAAGGCGAAAAGAACCCCGGCGAGGGGAGUGAAAAAGAACCUGAAACCGUGUACGUACAAGCAGUGGGAGCACAGGUUUACCUGUGUGACUGCGUACCUUUUGUAUAAUGGGUCAGCGACUUAUAUUCUGUAGCAAGGUUAACCGUAUAGGGGAGCCGGAGGGAAACCGAGUCUUAAUUGGGCGUUAAGUUGCAGGGUAUAGACCCGAAACCCGGUGAUCUAGCCAUGGGCAGGUUGAAGGUUGGGUAACACUAACUGGAGGACCGAACCGACUAAUGUUGAAAAAUUAGCGGAUGACCUGUGGCUGGGGGUGAAAGGCCAAUCAAACCGGGAGAUAGCUGGUUCUCCCCGAAAGCU